rnacentral:piRNA from 1 species
UCCCAGUGAAUAUUUGAUACAAGCAAGCCUC